UUUUAUGGAGAGUUUGAUCCUGGCUCAGAGUGAACGCUGGCGGCGUGCCUAAUACAUGCAAGUCGAACGAUGAAGCUUCUAGCUUGCUAGAAGUGGAUUAGUGGCGCACGGGUGAGUAACGCAUAGGUCAUGUGCCUCUUAGUUUGGGAUAGCCAUUGGAAACGAUGAUUAAUACCAGAUACUCCCUACGGGGGAAAGAUUUAUCGCUAAGAGAUCAGCCUAUGUCCUAUCAGCUUGUUGGUAAGGUAAUGGCUUACCAAGGCUAUGACGGGUAUCCGGCCUGAGAGGGUGAACGGACACACUGGAACUGAGACACGGUCCAGACUCCUACGGGAGGCAGCAGUAGGGAAUAUUGCUCAAUGGGGGAAACCCUGAAGCAGCAACGCCGCGUGGAGGAUGAAGGUUUUAGGAUUGUAAACUCCUUUUGUUAGAGAAGAUAAUGACGGUAUCUAACGAAUAAGCACCGGCUAACUCCGUGCCAGCAGCCGCGGUAAUACGGAGGGUGCAAGCGUUACUCGGAAUCACUGGGCGUAAAGAGCGCGUAGGCGGGAUAGUCAGUCAGGUGUGAAAUCCUAUGGCUUAACCAUAGAACUGCAUUUGAAACUACUAUUCUAGAGUGUGGGAGAGGUAGGUGGAAUUCUUGGUGUAGGGGUAAAAUCCGUAGAGAUCAAGAGGAAUACUCAUUGCGAAGGCGACCUGCUGGAACAUUACUGACGCUGAUUGCGCGAAAGCGUGGGGAGCAAACAGGAUUAGAUACCCUGGUAGUCCACGCCCUAAACGAUGGAUGCUAGUUGUUGGAGGGCUUAGUCUCUCCAGUAAUGCAGCUAACGCAUUAAGCAUCCCGCCUGGGGAGUACGGUCGCAAGAUUAAAACUCAAAGGAAUAGACGGGGACCCGCACAAGCGGUGGAGCAUGUGGUUUAAUUCGAAGAUACACGAAGAACCUUACCUAGGCUUGACAUUGAGAGAAUCCGCUAGAAAUAGUGGAGUGUCUGGCUUGCUAGACCUUGAAAACAGGUGCUGCACGGCUGUCGUCAGCUCGUGUCGUGAGAUGUUGGGUUAAGUCCCGCAACGAGCGCAACCCCCUUUCUUAGUUGCUAACAGGUCAUGCUGAGAACUCUAAGGAUACUGCCUCCGUAAGGAGGAGGAAGGUGGGGACGACGUCAAGUCAUCAUGGCCCUUACGCCUAGGGCUACACACGUGCUACAAUGGGGUGCACAAAGAGAAGCAAUACUGCGAAGUGGAGCCAAUCUUCAAAACACCUCUCAGUUCGGAUUGUAGGCUGCAACUCGCCUGCAUGAAGCUGGAAUCGCUAGUAAUCGCAAAUCAGCCAUGUUGCGGUGAAUACGUUCCCGGGUCUUGUACUCACCGCCCGUCACACCAUGGGAGUUGUGUUUGCCUUAAGUCAGGAUGCUAAAUUGGCUACUGCCCACGGCACACACAGCGACUGGGGUGAAGUCGUAACAAGGUAACCGUAGGUGAACCUGCGGUUGGAUCACCUCCUUUCUAGA
rnacentral:rRNA from 1 species